UACGAAGGGGGCUAGCGUUAAUCGGAAUUACUGGGCGUAAAGCGUGCGUAGACGGUAGCGUAAGUCGGGUGUGAAAGCCCCGGGCUCAACCUGGGAAUUGCAUUCGAGACUGCAGAGCUAGGGUGCGGAAGAGGGAAGCGGAAUUUCCGGUGUAGCGGUGAAAUGCGCAGAUAUCGGGAGGAACACCAAUGGCGAAGGCAGCUCGCUGGGACGGUACUGACGCUGAGACGCGAAAGCGUGGGGAGCAAACAGGG
rnacentral:rRNA from 1 species